GGGUAUACGACCGGACUUGCAAUCGCUUUAAGUAGCUUAUUUUUCUAGCAUAAACAUGCCCAGCGCUUCAACUAUCUUUCUCUGUAGGCGGAAUAUUGGUGUUUACAAAUAAAAUUAUCACUAGCGUGUUAUUCUCCUGCUCUUCUACUUUUGUUCUAUUGACAUCAGAACUGCAUAUGUGAAGUCUCUGGCUUUGAGAGGUGCAGUCGGUGCUAGCUUUCGUCGAGCUCUUAAGUUGUAUAUCCAAAGAUACAAUCCGGCAAUUGCUUUUAUUUUUAAACCUCGAAUCAGUGGUAUGAUGGCUGACCAAGUGAUUAAAAAGAUUGGGUUUCCUUUCUCUCACCGUGUGGAGGCAUCGAGAUUUUCAGGAGGAAUAGGGGUAUUCAAGAGGAAUCUAGGUUUUGUGGAAAAAGGGUUGGUCAGUGCAGGUGCUGGCUAAUCACAAACAAUAUAUUCAUAUGAAAAUUUAUAAAGCCAACAGUUUUCUCAUGAAAUUUACUGCGGCGUAAGGCUGCCCAACUGCUUUUAUUAGGGCUCUUUUGUGGCCAUCUUUGAAUAGUGUGACUUCUAAAGUUGUUGGUCCAUGGGCUCUUAUCGGGGACUGGAAUGCUCUCCUUAGGGCUGAAAAUAAGAAAGGAGGCUCUCCUCAUUGUUCGAAGUCUCUGUUGUUUAUUUCUAUCAGUGGAUGUAGACUUCUAGUUUGACGGAGAUUCCUUUCAGGGGUCCUUUUUUUCCUUGGACUCGGGGUAGGAUGAUGGGGCAUUUGGAUCGGGCUAUUUGUAAUGGGGAUUGGAGACUUGGUUUCCCCGAUGGCUAUGUACUACACUUACCCAAGACGCAUUCAGAUUAUUGUCUUGUACAUUUAUUGCCCAAUGGUGUUUGACAUUUGCAAUUCCAA